rnacentral:rRNA from 1 species
GCAGCAGGCGCGAAACCUNUGCAAUAGGCGAAAGCCUGACAGGGUUACUCUGAGUGAUUUCCGCUAAGGGGAUCUUUUGGCACCUCUAAAAAUGGUGCAGAAUAAGGGGUGGGCAAGUCUGGUGUCAGCCGCCGCGGUAAUACCAGCACCCCGAGUGGUCGGGACGAUUAUUGGGCCUAAAGCAUCCGUAGCCGGUUCUGCAAGUCUUCCGUUAAAUCCAGCCGCUCAACGGAUGGGCCGCGGAGGAUACUACAGGACUAGGAGGCGGGAGAGGCAAGCGGUACUCAGUGGGUAGGGGUAAAAUCCUUUGAUCCAUUGAAGACCACCAGUGGCGAAGGCGGCUUGCCAGAACGCGCUCGACGGUGAGGGAUGAAAGCUGGGGGAGCAAACCGGAUUAGAUACCCGGGUAGUCCCAGCUGUAAAACGAUGCAGACUCGGUGAUGGGCUAGCCUUGUGCCAGCCCAGUGCCGCAGGGAAGC